GAUUGCGGGUAACAAAAACAAGUCUGUAAUGGCCGUAUCGCAAUGGUAAUGGCCUAUCCCUAUACAAUUUUUGCGUCUUGCCUCGCUUGGGCGCACAUCUUGCGCCUAGGCUUCGAGACCUUUGGCGCCUUGGUGCACUAUGAACCUUUAAUAACUAUGGGUGUCACUAUAAUAGGAGGCCAAAAAAACUUGUAAAUAAUAGUCGUUAUAUUACGUAACAGCCGUUAUUUAAAACCAUGGUUGCUCUGGCUCUUUUUUUUAUAUAUAUAUAAUGGGUAUAACGGUAAUUGGGCCUUUAAAACCUGUAAAUUAUAACUGUUAUGUUACAUAACGUUUGUUAUUUAAAACCAUGGUACUCAUAGGGGAUUGAGUGAGAGGUAGUUCAGUUAGAACACUGAAAAGGGAUUUUGGCAAUCAUGAGAGAGAGAGAAAGAGAGAUUGGAGUGAAAAAGAAUAGGGAAGAUAGAGUGAGAAACGAUAAAGAAGAAUAUGCAAGCCAAAAAGGAACUGGCUUGGUUGCUGCAGAAACUGUAAUGUUUUCUUCUCCUGUAGAAAGCUUGUCUAAUCAAAGGCAAUUGCCUUCUUUCUUUCAUUUUGUU
rnacentral:misc_RNA from 1 species